GUGCCAGCAGCCGCGGUAAUACGUAGGGUCCGAGCGUUGUCCGGAAUUAUUGGGCGUAAAGAGCUCGUAGGCGGUUUGUCGCGUCUGCUGUGAAAACUAGAGGCUCAACCUCUAGCCUGCAGUGGGUACGGGCAGACUUGAGUGGUGUAGGGGAGACUGGAAUUCCUGGUGUAGCGGUGGAAUGCGCAGAUAUCAGGAGGAACACCGAUGGCGAAGGCAGGUCUCUGGGCACUUACUGACGCUGAGGAGCGAAAGCGUGGGGAGCGAACAGGAUUAGAUACCCUGGUAGUCCACGCCGUAAACGUUGGGCGCUAGAUGUGGGGACCUUUCCACGGUUUCCGUGUCGUAGCUAACGCAUUAAGCGCCCCGCCUGGGGAGUACGGCCGCAAGGCUAAAACUCAAAGGAAUUGACGGGGGCCCGCACAAGCGGCGGAGCAUGCGGAUUAAUUCGAUGCAACGCGAAGAACCUUACCAAGGCUUGACAUACACGAGAACGGGCCAGAAAUGGUCAACUCUUUGGACACUCGUGAACAGGUGGUGCAUGGUUGUCGUCAGCUCGUGUCGUGAGAUGUUGGGUUAAGUCCCGCAACGAGCGCAACCCUCGUCGCAUGUUGCCAGCACGUUAUGGUGGGGACUCAUGUGAGACUGCCGGGGUCAACUCGGAGGAAGGUGGGGAUGACGUCAAAUCAUCAUGCCCCUUAUGUCUUGGGCUUCACGCAUGCUACAAUGGCCGGUACAAAGGGCUGCGAUGUCGUAAGGCGGAGCGAAUCCCAAAAAGCCGGUCUCAGUUCGGAUUGAGGUCUGCAACUCGACCUCAUGAAGUCGGAGUCGCUAGUAAUCGCAGAUCAGCAACGCUGCGGUGAAUACGUUCCCGGGCCUUGUACACACCGCCCGUCAAGUCAUGAAAGUCGGUAACACCCGAAGCCGGUGGCCUA
rnacentral:rRNA from 1 species